rnacentral:lncRNA from 1 species
AGGAAUUCAAUUAAGACUAUAUAGGAGGACGGGAGUGGCAAAGGCGAAGGCAAACACAAAAAAUUCUCCUUAUCCACAGCUUUGAUGACUCUACAGGGACACCAACUAGUGAGACAGGGCAUACAGCAAGAUGCUGGUCUAAGUUCAUUGGUCCACAUGUAUCUUGGGGUAUAGUCUUUUCUCGACGCCACUUUGACAAGUAAUAUGAUCCCAUGCCAUGCUAGGUUGCUAAUCUCUCACUUCACCACUGUCUGGACAAGUAAAUAGAUCUUGAACAAAACCUAAAUAAUAAUAAUGAUACUAAUACAAAGGAAUUUGUCUGAACUGUUCCUCCCUGUUCCUCUAACAAAACAUAGUUUAGACGAAGAUAAAAAAAAAAAUCGUAAAUUAGAUAAAACUUUGAUAGUAGGACAGUGCAUAAUCAAGAUCCAGACAAAAAAAGGGAAAAAAAGUUUGGAUUGCCUAUACAGCCUGGGCUGCUUUUGCAAGACAAGAAGGAUAAGAGAAAAUAAAUAAGAGUAGGCGGGGGAAAAAAAAAAAAAAAAAAAAAAUCAUCACUCUGUUCUUUGAUUACUUUUACUUGAUGGUUAUCACCACCUCCAAGUAAUGAUUCAAACUACAUGUCAUACAGAUGUGUAUAAUCAAGAUCAGGGAAUAAAAAAUCAAAAAGAAAGGGAACAAGUUUGGAUUGCAUUUGCAACCUGGGCUGCUUUUGCAUGACAAGAAAGAUAAAGAGGAAAUAAGAGGAAAAGGCAAAAUGAAAGAGGAAAAAAAAGGGAAAAAAAAUCAUCAUUCUUUGUUUGUUUAUACUUUUCGUUUAUGAUUAUCGGCAACUUUUUGAUGGUCACAAUCUUCUCUUUGUUUUAGUCAUUCUAUCAUAGUUUAUCAAUGGAAAUAACAAUUCAAUCUUAAUUUGGUCAUCACUACUGUCAUGAAUAAUUAACAUAUUAUGUUAUUGUCUUUCAGUUUUACUCAUGCUUUAUAUAACAUAUAGAGGAUUUCUAAUAAGCUUGUGGAACUCAUUUUGAUUAAUUUUUUGACUAUUUUAGUCGUGUAAACGUAGAUGGAUGUAAUGUUUAUGUAUGUCAAUAUCUUUUAAUUUUCUAGCUCCGUAGAAUAGUGUGAAGUGUCAUCCAAUAUAACACACUUGAGCUACCCAAGUGGCACAUGGUUGGAUGGGCCUCUAGGGUAUUGUUUAGAGUUGGUUCGUUGCUUUGUUAUGUAGUAGUAGGAUCUAUUGGUUCUAACAAAUUAUCUUAAACAUUUUGUUAUACGAUCGUUUAAAGCUUGCAAAGUCUAUCUUUAUAAUUUGCAUUCUCUAUCAAAUGUUUGUUGAAAUAUCUACUUGUGAGAUAUCGAGUUAAAUAAUUCUUCUAAUCUGUCUUUUCUUUUAUAGAUUCUUAUAUUAUCAUAAAAGAUUUUUGAGACACUAUCCAUUUGUAGACAAACACACAAAGGUGUCGUACGACUUAGGAAAUAUGGCUAAGUUUAUGACAAUUUGUACCAAAGUGAGACAUACAUACUUAAAAACACUUGGUAUGCAAAUAUAGGGGACCUAGUGAGGUUGUAUUAAGGGUGGUCAGCAUAUGCAACCGUUUAAUAGAAACUAGUGUAGAGACAUAUGAAAACGAAUCGCUUAGAGGAGCGAAUAUCUGUGAUUGUCAUUCAAAGGAAUGGCCAACCCUUUGCGCGAGAGGCACCAUGAGGUCAAGUAACUUAGGAAGAAUGUGUAGCACACAAAGGUUGGAAUGGUUGAGUUUAAGCUACGACUCGAUGUUGGCAACCAAACUUAAUAGCGUUAAAGGCAAGCGAGAGCGUUUGGAAAAAGAUGAGAUCAUAUAAGGAGGGAUGAGUUGUUCGGUGACUUAAAGAGUUAUGUAAAUUGCAUAAAGGUAAGAGAAACUUCUAUAUCGAAAAAUUUGAUACUCAUGUAAGGGCUUAUAUACAGAUAAUGGAUUGUCCAUGACAAUCCCAAGGUGAUCAAAACUCGAUGCCAUGGAGCAUGAAAACUUUUUCUUUGACAUGGGAAUGAUACGUCUAUAGGAGAUUGAAGUGUGUAGUAGGUUCAACAAAUUGUUAGGCCUUAAGGGGGGCAAUAAAUGUUAUAUUAACAAAGAGUCAUAGUCUAGUAAGUGCAUUUGCGAUGGUGAAACAGUGCACAAUUUGUUCAGCAAGGUAGAGUAGUCCAAGAGGAUGAUGACCUUUGAAAUUUUUAGAGAGAAAGUUACUUCAACAAUAAAGAUAUAUAAGAGGAAUAUAUCUCAAUUCUCCAAAAGGAGAAUCAUAUGCAACAGACCGUAAAUGUUGAGUGGGCUACCCUAAGACAAUAGUUCCAUAAAGCUCAAUGGACUAAGUGAGUGACAAGGAGUCAUCGCAUGAUCUCAAUGGACUAAGUGAGUGACAAGGAGUCAUCGCAUGAUCUCAUAUGGACAUAUUACGAGAUCAAGUGGGGUGCUCCUGAGGUAAUAUCAAAUGAAUGCACACUUAGAGCUAAUAUGAAGAUCGAAUUCAAUGAAGGGUUGACUCGUGGAAUGGUGGGCACGAGGACCACCAUCAACUCAAUGCGAAUAGAAGAGUGGAAUAAUUUGGGUAAAACUCGAUGAAGUGCCCAAGACGUAUAAAGGGAGUCGACAUAAAAACCAAAAAAUUGAGUAGAGGCACAAAGCAUUUCUUGGUCAGAGGUCAAGGAUAUGAACUAUUAUAGAGGCAAGAGCAAGAUCAUAUCGUUCCAUAGGUCCCUUGUUCUGAUGGAACGAACUAAUCUUGCAUAGUUUUAAAGUCAAAGGGAGCUUUAAGGCCUAUGCAUCUUAUCUCAACAAAAUAGUUGAUAAAGGGACGGAAGCAAAGUUGGGGUCAGAAAACCUUAGCAUUGGGCAAGAGGAUGUGAAGACGAGUACUCUUGAAGAAUAUGUUGCAAUGUUACCAUUACCAUUUGAGUUACUGCAAAAGAAGUUAUAUGCAAUAGAGAUUAUGUUAGGGGUAAAAGCCCAAGAUCUAGAUAAUGGCACAUCAAUUUCAGUGAAGUCAAUGAAAUUCGAUAGUUAUUGGGUAAUAGACUAUCCUAAAGUUGCACUUCGUUCAUGUGUGACCCAAGAGCGAGUGGACGAAGAUCGAUUGUUAAAGGAGCAAACAGUAUCAGAAGUGGCAAAGGCUUUGCGAUGUGCUAACGGAGGCCACACAUAGAGAGAUUAUAGUCCAAAUUCAUCCCACAAAGAUCAAAAUACAUUAAAAAUGUCAUAAGAAGGUGACAUGAUACAAUAUAUCAUGAUGGAAUAGUUUUAAGGCAAUACGAUACACAUAGAAGAAGUCCGGUGAGUGGCUUAAUUAUAUAAAGGUGAACUUCACUUUAGUAAGCAACACAACAACAAGAAGAGUCAUAUAUUCAAGAAGUGAAUGACAUGGUACCGUAAAGGCGGGUCUUUCAUGUGUGUACUAAAUUUUACAUUUGAUGAAAGCCUUGGUUAUCAUAGAAGUAUGAUUUGAGUGGCUGGAGAGUUGGGACUACUCUAAAGCUCAUAUUCGCUAGAGAGCCCAAUAAGUCAAAGGAAAAGGCUGAGCGAAUGAAUAUUACUACCAAUGAUGCAAAGGAGAAUAGAAUCGACGCAAGCCCUACAACAUGAUAUAGAGGUUAUGCAUGAGAGUUACAGUCUAUUAUUUUAUCAUCCAAGGGAAACUACUCAAAUAACACAAAGGUGUUGAAACAAGUAGUCGAAAAGGGCAAGGAGGCAAUGACGAGUCCAAAGGGACUUAGCUACCCAAAACCAAGCGUUAAUUAGAUAAAGGGGGACUUGGAAGAGUAUCAUAGUGCCACAAAAAUGGAUCUACCAAUCACGAAGAAAGGGAUACAAAUACGAGGUGAUAGAUAGUAAAGCUAUGGGCAUAACAGCAUCAUGAUAUCGUAAAGGUAGGACUUUCGUGGAGUCAUCGAUCCUUUGCUCUCAUGGAAGGAGAGCGCAUGGUUGUAAAAGAGGGCUAAGGAGGUAAAAACUUUAAGUACCGAUAAGAUAGAAGGGCAAAGGUUAUGGAACUUCAUAAGACCAAUAUUGACAAGCUUCUCAUCAAGAUAACUGAAAAUGAGGAACUUUUGGUUGAUACAAUAUUACUUGACUAAAGAAUGGAAUAGAUAGUACGUGAUCUUGUACAUUUUCUAAUUAGAGGAGUAAGUGAUAGAAAUGAUAGAGAAGAUGAUAUAAUCCUAGAGAUGACCAAAACAAUAGGAGAUUUUCUUUAAGCCGGGGUAAAAUUUUACUCUUUUCGGGCAAAACUUCUUAUAUUUUUAAAGUUCAAUGGAAAUAAGGAGGUGAAUCAUAGUAGUUAACACAAUGCAAGGAGUAUAAAUACCUUGGGUGCUUUAGAAAUAUGAGCAAAAGACAAGCAAAGUUAGUAAUUAGCUUGAUGCAUGAAGUAUAACCCUCGAGAAGGUGAGUGAAGUCAAGUAACAUUUGUCUUCUUAACUCUUAAGAGAAUGGGUAAAAAUCAAGUAUCUCAAUUAACUUAUUUAUCUAACAAAGAAGCUUUACACAUAUUCAAAGACCCUUCAUAGAGACUUGGUGGAAGAUAACAAUUGUCAAAUCUUCACUAAUGGUGAUUAUAUCUAUUGAGAGUCGAUUGUCUAUUUCAUUUCCCAAUAAAAUACUAAUCGAAAGCAGAAGUAAUGCUAACCUACUUGAUGUGACAACUAAGCAAAAGAAAAAUCAAUCAAUAAAUUUUACAAGGCGAUGCUAGUUAAAGCUCUAAUAGGCAUCCACCUAACUCAAGCGACAUGAGAUGCUUGAGAGAUUGAUGUAUAACAAUAAAGGUCUUUUCCUUCAUCCGAGGGAUCUGUAGGAACAAAUAAAAAACAACACAACUUGAUUGACCCCACACCAGAGUCUGAGUUACUAACAAGUUGAAGCAAUGUUGGUGGAUUAAAAUUUGACCCUACAAUGAUAAUGGAGAGCAAUUGAAAGCCAAGAGAGAUGCAUUAUAGCUAUUACGAUAAGAUGUCAUUAACGUCUUGGUUAGCUUGAUGUGGUCCAGACCCAUGUGCGCAAGAUUAUCCAAGAUGGCUUCAGGGUGAAAACGUCAUGCUCCUGAGGUGCCACAUAUACGAAGAUCAAAAUCGAGAGAGAUUUCUUGACUCGAUCCCUUUGACACCCAAGUCAGUGAUAUAAGAUAGGUGACUGUAGACGCGAGUGAUUAAAGAGUAACGUCCCUAUUUUAUUAUGUUGAAGAUAAGCUUUUAUACCUGGUUGUAAAGGGACAUAAUAUUCUAGGACAUAUUGUAUGGGAAUGUAGCCUCUAACCACCUCUACCAAUUUUCUCUUAACAUUUUAUCUACAUGGGUGACAAGGGAGGAUAGCCUACAACCACCUGCCUUGGACCCUUGUCCACGUGGGCAAACAAAUGGAGGGUAGCCUUCAUCUUCUCAUUCUAGUUUAGAUACCACGUGGAGGUUACGUGUCGGAUAAUGAUUGGCUAACGAUGUUUUCCCUCGCAACUAAAGUAUAAGAUUAAAGAUUCAACAAAGACAAAGAGAUACAACAUCUACAAAGACUUCGACAAGAACACUGAAAGAAUAAGUGAGGAAGAAUGUCAUGGACAAAGAUAUACAUAAGAUGUUUGAUAUAAUGUUUGUGUAUAUUCGUAAAUUUCGAUUUUGUUCAACGGCUUAUAGUAGGCUUAGUAACCCCAUUUUAAUUGGCUUUUGUGACCAUUUUAUCCUAUAAAUGCAAGUUAUAAGAAAUCAUCACGUAGAUGUAAAAUUACCUAAAACUAGAUUAUCCAAAUAAUCAUUUUGGAGGUUUUCUAACUCCGUAGAGUGGUGCGAAGUAUUAACUAGUACAAUACACUAGAGCUACCAUGUGACACAUGAUUAGAUAGACCUUUGGGGUAUUAUCUAGGGUUGUUUACUAUCUUAUGUUGUAGUAGCGUCAUGUGAGCACUUAUAAGGACUUUUGAUCUCAGCGAACCACCUUGGACCUUGUGACGUGCGAUCAUUCAGAGCUUACGAAGUUUAUAUUUAUAAUUUAUAUUACCUAUCAAGUAUUUUGCUAAAAUGUGUGCUUGUGAAAUCCUGAGUAAAACAUUUCUUUUAAUUUGUUUCUCUUUUUAAUAUUUUUAUGGGAUCAUAAAAGGUUUCAGGGGGACUAACCCUUUACGGAUGAACACGUAAGGAUAUUGUACAACUUAAACAAAACUAACUAAAUCCAUAAGAUUUAAUUAAAAAUAUAUUUAAAAUAAAUUAUGAAUAUAAUAAUAUAAAAAUAUCAAAAUAUAUGAAAAAUAAAAAUCAGGGUUUAUAAGGGAAAAGACAGAAACUUUCAGUGUCUCCAAGGAGACGUAUGGAUGUGUUGCAUGAUACAGCAAUCCUGAAUCUAAAUUUUUCUAUGGCAAGCUUAACCAAGUAACGUCUUGAAAUGUUUAGGUAAAGUUGAACUCAUAAAUAACAAUGCAACUAUUUUUCCUUGCACCAAAAAUAAAUGAAAAUGUUAUCAGGAAGUAUGACAAAGAACAAAAAAAAGGAAGUGAAAGUUAGAAGAUUGACACCCAACACCACUCUCAACUGAAUAAACUUAGAAUCACUUAAAUACCCGAAUCAAUGUCAGCAACACAUUUAAACUGCUGCAGAAACAUCAAGAUUUGUCGAUCCUGUAUUCAAGACACUUGCGCAUUAUCCGGCCUACUGUAUCAACUUAUUGGAUGUGUUGUUAUUAAUUUUUCAGCUUACUAAAAUUAUUCACAGCGUUUAGCAUCACAUUGAGAUUAAAAAAUAAAAGAAAAUUACCAUAUUAAUUUGCGCUAAAUUUUUGAAAACUAAUCCAUUGACUUGUUCUAUUCUUCUAUAUCAAACACAAAAAGAAAAGGCAGAGCAAAUGACUGAAAAUAUGAAUACGGAGAAGCUAGUUUCUCGUGAUUCAGUUAGGUAAUACCGCAGAUAGGAUUCAACACUUGAACAAGAUUUCAGAUUGCUACCAAAAGCUCUUCUGACAAAACUGAUACAGUCAGUAUAUGAUACAGAAGUAGGAUCAAACUAAAGAUAAAGAGAAGAGACUUAAUUCACUUAAAUUAAGAACUUAUGAUUAAAUAAGGAUUGGAAUUUUAAGGAAGAAAAUAUCCUACUAUCCUUCCCUCUCAAGCAGCUGGUGACGGGGAAGGAAGAGAUGUGGCCAACAAGAGAUGAAGUGCGUCACGCUAGUUUAAUCUCAUAUCAAAAGUGGGAGGAUGCUUUAAUUGGUUUAUAGGGGCUUGAUGGUAUACAAUCAAUUUGGGCUCAAGCCGUUUUGCUCAUGUGAUUCUAGAUCUAUCAAGUAAAUGAGUCAAUUAUCUCAUCAAGUUGAUUUCAUUACAAUUAUAUAUAAGUUACCUUAGUUUAGUCCCAUAAUAGUCAUCUCUGAUGGGAUGAUUUAAUCAUUAACUUCGUUAUCAAAAUAUUUAAAAUGAUAGAUUAACAUAUCCUUUGAUGAUUGGAUAACUGAUUCAUUAGGUUUAUUGAGCCUAAACUACUAGAUCAAAAUAUUUAAAUUUGGGUUAGCGAUACCAUACCCAUUAGACCUUUAUAAAUAAAUUUAAUAUUUUAUCAACACUACCAAACUGAAAGAAUAAAUGCACAUCCAAACUAAGUCGAAAAGGGCUAUUCAUCCAAGACUAAAUGCACAUCGUAGCUUGAAGCCACAACACCGCAAGUUUAGUCCAUGGGAAGAGACUUGAAUUGUUAAAAAUGUAAGUGACGCGAGAUUGGCAAGGUAAAUGAUCCUACAUAAGCAAAGAGCCUGACAAAGCACCAACGCAAAAGAAAACUCGGAUUAGAGAAUCGACGGAUCGAAGAUAGAGCAGAAGCUUUACCGAUACCCAAAUCCAAGAAACCCAGGACAAGAUCCAGAGAAACUAUGAAGAAAAGAAUGAACAAGAAGGCAACAUAACAGUUGGGGUUAGAGAAUCGAUGGAUCGAAUACCGAGCAGAAACGUCGCCGAGAUUGCUCCGUGGUGCAAUUGAUCGUUCAAGAACGAGGAUGCCUGAGCGGAUGGCGGAGAGACCUAGAAGGAUUCUGAGCGAUCGAGGGCGGAAAGCCGAAAGCGAGCAAAGAACAAGCCCUAAUCUACACAAGUGGAGGAGGAGGAGGAGGAAUGCCAUCGCCCGAAACCGACGGGGAUGGGAUUGGUGAGCGAGAGCGAGAAAGCGGGCCUUUUAUAGCUACGAUUGCGAGCGGGGCUGUUACGAUCCCAACGGCGAAGAGCUUAUUUGAGACGCGGCGAUCUCCGUGCAGUCUAUCCGUUAUAAACCAUGUUGGCGAGAUGACGUAACAGCAAAUCGGGU